GGCAGACCGGCUCCCAUGCUGCACAAGGCUGUGUAGCUGCCGCGAGUGGAGAAAUCGGGUUUUGUUGGCUGAUUGACGGCCGUUGGUUGUCCAGGGUAUCCUAACUUUUCUCACGAAACUUCUACCCCGCCCAAAUGCUGAGCUUACCUCUCAGAAAAGCGACAGUCGUUGAUAGGUGACCUAGUAAAGAAGAAUUUGGGGGAUAUUUCAAAGGGCCUUCCCCCAGACUUGAUUAUCCAAAACACUUGUAAUCACUCCACCUACACUUCAGUGAAAAUAUUGUUUAUAAAUAAAGGUUGUCGCAUGGGUUUUGGUGAGAUGACCUCCACCUUGGAAUUCUCAUCUGGCCAAUCUGAUUACCAUAUUUCUGUAGUGCCAUUGAUUGGUUCAGAAUGGACAUACAUCAAGUCAGGCCAAUGGGUACCACUGACAUGAAAUUGAAUCAUCAGGAAGCAACUUUAUUUCCUAUGGACUUGAACCUGAGAGGAUGUGGAGAAUAAAUCCAAAACUCAGAAGAGACCAGAAUCAAGCAGAAAGAAAAUCCAAAACAUGAUUUUAUGAUGUGAGCCCUGAAUCCCUGAUGUGCCCUGGAAAUUUGUUAACAUGAGCCACUAAAUGUCACUAUUUUGCUUAUGCAGUUCUCUGAUACUUAUAACCAAAAGAACGUUCUUGAAUGCUGUAAAUCUUAAACCCAGUUGAAAAUGCUUGAGACCAAAACAUCAAAUCUGAAUAAGAUCAAGUCUAAAAAAAAUACCAUCUGUAAGUAGAGGACAGAGGAACAUGUUAAUACUCAGUGCAAUCAACAAGAUCUAAACUGACAGAAAAACCUGCAGGAAAAAUGGUCCAGAUUCUGCAACAAAUUAUUAGAAAGAGAGAGAAGGAAAUUUUAAGGGAUAUAUCAAUCACUCUUCAUGAUUCUUUGAAUCUUGAGUCAAACAAUUUGAACGAUAUUAUGACAUUUGUGAGACAAUUGGAAAUUUGAACACUAGCUGAAUAUUUGAUGAAAUUCUAGAACAAGCAAAACUUAUCUAUAGGACAGCAUAUCACUGAUGCUUGGGAACUGGAAUAGGGUGGUAAUGGAGGGAGAAGACUAAAGUGGCACAAAGGCGCUUUUUGGAUAAUAGACAUAUUGUAUAUCCUCUAUCUUGAUUGAGGUGGUGGUGUAUAUACUUGUCAAAGCUCAUGAGAAGCGCAACUCCCCUUCCCCCAAAAAUCCCAUACAUACUCAAAACAAUGACAAGACACUAUUAGAAAUAACCAAUCUUACUUCUUCAAGAAGUGAAUUACAAAGCUAAAUAUCCCUUUUCCCAAGCAGAACAAAGGAAAUGGAAUAAACAUCUAAAUGAUGAAGACAAAGACCCCAGAGGUCAAUGUUCAAAGGAUAUUCUUCCAGAGAGCAGAAUCAAGGCUGAAUCACUGGGUAAGGAACUUUUAUAAUGCCUGUGUGGCAGGAUACCUGCAUUGCUAUGGCCCAGUGGCUAUUGCACAUCUUUUCUAAGUAGGAAUGUUUAUUGUGGUUAUCACGUCCCUUCUCCGUUGUUGUUUAUUGUACAAGAGAGAAGAGCAGAUAAUUGUCUCUUAGUUCAUAGACCACUGGACCAUGAAGAACCACUUCUAGACCCAAGGAAGAAGACCCAGCACACCUGGAGAUUCUGGAGAGUCAGCUCAGUGCAGUGACUGGACAGGAGACUACUGGCAUCUAUAGAAUUCUCUGAAUCUGUUUCUGCAACUGGUUGUGAUGUCAAAGCAUUAUUUUAUCACAGAAUUUAUCCAAAAAAAGCUAGCCUGUGAAGCAGAAAGCUCUAAUUGCAUGUUAUUCAACAAUCAUGUAAAUAAAAAUGGAAAUGAAAAUAGAAAAUAAAAGACUUAAAAUAACAGUGCACAAGUUACAGCUGCACUUACCUGCCCACUUGCAGGUAGAAUUGACUGCAGGAAGAAUUGGUUCCUAUAAUGCAGAGUCUCUGGUCCUGCUCCCUGCCGGUGGACUCAGAAUAUGGUGAGGCCAAAAAGGAACACCAAUGGAGCCAUAGAGAGGGGAGUCAUACCACUAUAUUCUCGAUGG